GACGAACGCUGGCGGCGUGCUUAACACAUGCAAGUCGAACGGAAAGGCCCUGCUUUUGUGGGGUGCUCGAGUGGCGAACGGGUGAGUAACACGUGUGUAACCUGCCCUUGACUUUGGUAUAACUUCAGGAAACUGGGGCUAAUACCGGAUAGGAUCUCCUGCUGCAUGGUGUGGGUUGGAAAGUUUCGGCGGUUGGGGAUGGACUCGCGGGUUAUCAGCUUGUUGGUUGGGUAGUGGCUUACCAAGGCUUUGACGGGUAGCCGGACUGAGAGGGUGACCGGAGACAUUGGGACUGAGAUACGGCACAGACUCCUACGGGAGGCAGCAGUGGGGAAUAUUGCAAAAUGGGCGGAAGCCUGAUGCAGCAACGCCGCGUGCGGGAUGACGGCCUUCGGGUUGUAAACCGAUUUCGCAUGUGACGAAGAGUGAGUGACGGUAAUGGGUAAAGAAGCACCGGCUAACUACGUG
rnacentral:rRNA from 1 species